GUAUGAAAUGAUGGCAUACCAUCUUUCGGGACUGACUCAUCCUGGAGAUAUUUCAGUACUGUACUGAUCAUAC